GUUCCUUAAUUUGUUCACUAAACCAAAGCAAAUACUAUAAUCCAUUCAACUAUACAAGGAUUAGCCACUAAUUACUUCUCAACUCAAAUUCUUUGCAGCCGUAGAAUCCAUUAAUCUAAACAUAACAGGCAAUUAUAAGAGCAAUGGAUUGUAAAUAUCAGAUUGAUAGGAAGAAGAAAGUAUCGAAAAGAAUUGUGCAGUUUGUUUUAUCAGUGUCUGUGUUUUGUUUAUUUGUAUGGCACAGCUUUCUGAAGAGCCUCUUGGAGAUUUUCUUACGAUUGAAGAAGCGAAAACGCAAGAAGAUUAUUCUGAACAAGUAUCUGCAGCUGAACAUGACACGGACGUGUUGAUUAUUGCAGAGGAAGAAGGAGGAACAGGAAAUAGUAGUGAAGAUCAACCGGCAAAUACAGAUGAACUGAAUAGAAAGUUCGAAGAGUUUAUAAGGAAAAUGAAGGAGGAGAUGAGGAUUGAAGCUCAACGACAACCAAUUGAAGUGUAGUAAUUGCAAUGAUGAUGAUUAUGAUUGACAGUAUCAAAAUAUCAAAAUCCAAACACCUAUUUCUUUCUGUCACCAACUUCUCUUCUUCUCAGAUUUUGUCUCUACCAAAAAAAAUAAUCUUAUUUUCAUAACAAUCAUAAUGAUUUGU